rnacentral:rRNA from 1 species
AUUGAACGCUGGCGGCAUGCCUUACACAUGCAAGUCGAACGGUAACAGGUCUUCGGAUGCUGACGAGUGGCGAACGGGUGAGUACUACAUCGGAACGUGCCCGAGAGUGGGGGAUAACGAGGCGAAAGCUUUGCUAAUACCGCAUACGAUCUCAGGAUGAAAGCAGGGGACCGCAGGGCCUUGCGCUCACGGAGCGGCCGAUCGAAGAUUAGGUAGUUGGUGGGAUAAAAGCUUACCAAGCCGACGAUCUGUAGAUGGUCUGAGAGGACGACCGUCAACGCUGGGACUGAGACACGGACCAGACGGCGACGGGAGGCAGCAGUGGGGAAUGUUGGACAAUGGGCGCAAGCCUGAUCCAGCCAUGCCGCGUGCAGGAUGAAGGCCUUCGGGUUGUAAACUGCUUUUGUACGGAACGAAAAGACUCUGGUUAAUACCUGGGGUCCAUGACGGUACCGUAAGAAUAAGCACCGGCUAACUACGUGCCAGCAGCCGCGGUAACAC